rnacentral:rRNA from 1 species
GAUGAACGCUGGCGGCGUGCUUAACACAUGCAAGUCGAACGGAAAGGCUCCUGCUUGCAGGGGUACUCGAGUGGCGAACGGGUGAGUAACACGUGGGUGAUCUGCCCUGCACUUCGGGAUAAGCCUGGGAAACUGGGUCUAAUACCGGAUAGGACGAUGGUUUGGAUGCCAUUGUGGACAGUUUUUCGGUGUGGGAUGAGCUCGCGGCCUAUCAGCUUGUUGGUGGGGUAAUGGCCUACCAAGGCGUCGACGGGUAGCCGGCCUGAGAGGGUGUACGGCCACAUUGGGACUGAGAUACGGCCCAGACUCCUACGGGAGGCAGCAGUGGGGAAUAUUGCACAAUGGGCGAAAGCAUGAUGCAGCGAAGCCGCGUGGGGGAUGACGGCCUUCGGGUUGUAAACUCCUUUCGCUAGGGAAGAAGCGCAAGUGACGGUACCUGGAGAAGAAGCACCGGCUAACUACGUG